rnacentral:rRNA from 1 species
AUUGAACGCUGGCGGUAUGCUUAACACAUGCAAGUCGAACGGUAACAGGCCUUCGGGCGCUGACGAGUGGCGGACGGGUGAGUAACGCGUAGGAAUCUGCCUCAUAGUGGGGGACAACGUGGGGAAACUCACGCUAAUACCGCAUACGCCCUACGGGGAAAGCGGGGAUCUUCGGACCUCGCGCUAUGAGAUGAGCCUGCGUUAGAUUAGCUAGUUGGUAGGGUAAAGGCCUACCAAGGCGACGAUCUAUAGCUGGUCUGAGAGGACGAUCAGCCACACUGGGACUGAGACACGGCCCAGACUCCUACGGGAGGCAGCAGUGGGGAAUAUUGGACAAUGGGCGCAAGCCUGAUCCAGCAAUACCGCGUGUGUGAAGAAGGCCCUAGGGUUGUAAAGCACUUUCAAUUGGGAGGAAAACCGUGCCGGUCAAUACCCGGCAGCUUGACAUUACCUUUAGAAGAAGCACCGGCUAACUCCGUGCCAGCAGCCGCGGUAAU